UGGAGUCAAAACGCCUUCAUGUAAAGUAUCGGCCCCAUGAUUUAUGAGCGGAAAUAAAAGAUCAAAGUUUGGACACACUAACCCAUUCACAUGAAGUUUGGACACAAGUUUGGGAUACAGUGGCCUGGGCCAUGAUGACAUACUGGGCUGUUCUUCCUCAUUGUCUUGCUAUGGUUACUUUACAAUCUAUGGAAGACAUCAGCCAGAGCUGCACCUCUGUCAAGUUCAACACUAUCAAGUCAGGCUAGAGAGACAAAGUAUUUAUUUCUCUUGAGGCAAGGACUAAGGAGACAGAUCAUUCACAAACCAACUCCUGGAUUCAAAGAAAGACAACUGCUUCUUCCAGUAUCAUUCGAAAUCCAAGUUCUCUUGAUAGAAACUGUAUAAGUCAAUGAA